rnacentral:rRNA from 1 species
CAGCACCUCAAGUGGUCAGGAUGAUUAUUGGGCCUAAAGCAUCCGUAGCCGGCGCUGUAAGUUUUCGGUUAAAUCUGUACGCUCAACGUACAGGCUGCCGGGAAUACUGCAGCGCUAGGGAGUGGGAGAGGUGGACGGUACUCGGUAGGAAGGGGUAAAAUCCUUUGAUCUAUUGAUGACCACCUGUGGCGAAGGCGGUCUGCCAGAACACGUCCGACGGUGAGGGAUGAAAGCUGGGGGAGCAAACCGGAUUAGAGACCCGAGUAGUCC